rnacentral:lncRNA from 1 species
AGGCAUCAGAAUGGUCAGCUAAAGAACACAUGAUGAUGUAGUGAGGAGAUAGGGCAAGGUCCGAUACGUAUCCGAUUUCUGACGGAAUCUCAUCUCACUGAGCAAAUUGGAUUCAAACGGCUACAGAUGGAUAGCUGGUGAUAGAAUCCUGAAAGUUAUGCAUGGCAAUAGGAUUAUUCUAGAGGGAGAGAAGAGGAUAAAAGGAUAUUACUAUCUGAUGGAGAGUCC